UACGGAGGGUGCAAGCGUUGUCCGGAUUUAUUGGGUUUAAAGGGUGCGUAGGUGGAACUUUAAGUCUGGUUUGAAAGCAGGCGGCUUAACCGUCUGAUGUGGCUGGAAACUGGAGUUCUUGAAUGUGUUGGCGGUAGCCGGAACGGGUCAUGUAGCGGUGAAAUGCAUAGAUAAUGACCCAGAACCCCGAUUGCGAAGGCAGGCUACUAGGACAUGAUUGACACUGAGGCACGAGAGCAUGGGGAGCGAACAGG
rnacentral:rRNA from 1 species